CCUACGGGAGGCAGCAGUGAGGAAUAUUGGUCAAUGGACGAGAGUCUGAACCAGCCAAGUAGCGUGAAGGAUGACUGCCCUAUGGGUUGUAAACUUCUUUUAUAAAGGAAUAAAACGAGGCACGUGUGCCUUUUUGCAUGUACUUUAUGAAUAAGGCUCGGCUAACUCCGUGCCAGCAGCCGCGGUAAUACGGAGGGUGCGAGCGUUAAUCGGAAUUACUGGGCGUAAAGCGCUCGUAGGCGGUAUGUCAAGUCAAGGGGGAAAUCCCCGAGCUCAACGUGGGAACUGCCUUUGAAACUGGCAAACUGGAGUGUGUGAGAGGAUAGUGGAAUUCCAGGUGUAGGAGUGAAAUCCGUAGAUAUCUGGAGGAACAUCAGGGGCGAAGGCGACUAUCUGGCACAUAACUGACGCUGAGGAGCGAAAGCGUGGGUAGCAAACAGGAUUAGAUACCCGGGUAGUC
rnacentral:rRNA from 1 species